UGUUCAGAGCCUGUGUUUUGGAUAUAGCCAUCAAUAAUGCUUUCUGUCCUAAAUUGGCCUUUUGUUGCCACAAGCUGUAAACCUGUGUGCUGCAUGACUGAGACUGGGACAGGGAGCACAGGCCCUAUCUGAUUUUUAGAGUUAAUGCCCUGCUCAGACCUCACACAGGUGGUCAGCUUUACUUUAUUACCUGCCCUUAAGGAUUGAAAGUCUAAUCAGGCACUCAGGAAGUUAUAUGAUCAGGUGCUGCUAACCAGGAGGCCUUUCAGAAGGGAUGGCUCCAGUAACUGUUAGAAAAGAGGUUACAGAGAAGGUCAGUGCAGAGCUAGGAAGAGAACCAUGGUCUCCUGAGACCAAAUUGAUUUUUCCCUGGUUUCAGGUUUUGUUAACUUUCUUAUCCCAGUACCUGUGGUUACCUGUAUUUUCUAAUCUUUCGUGAAUGAAACCUUGAGCAAGGACACCUUCUAAUAAAGGAGCUGGUUCUAACACCUUUAAGAAAGGUAAAAACAUCGCCUAGAAAGUCACAGCAGCUCACUCUGUGAAAGUGGAAUACCAUGUCCAAGAACUGCUUUGCCAUGGUCUUUUCAUUGUAAAGCUCCUCUGAAGCUGCAAAAUACCCAGGCCCACUCCACGUGAUUACCCAGAGGGCAGACAGCUGGUGACAUCACCCAACCCUGCCUAUGAAGAUAGGCUGACGAGAAGGGACAGCGAGCUUGUCUCUCUGCAGAAGGUAGUCCCCAGGCCCUCAGCACUUGGAUGUGAGGAAGAUCCAUAUGGCCAAAACCGCAUUCAAACUACAGCUGCUUCUUCAGCUCUGUCCUCUGCCAGCUUAUGGACCUCCAUAUCUGUGAAGUGUCCGAUCAUGGAAGCUGAGAUCUUAAACAUUUUGGAAAGCUGGUUCCAAGCACAGUUACACUCCAAUAUGACUGGAGCUGUCCUAUGCUUCCCUUGCCUGUGAACAGAAGUGAACAAAUUCAUCUUAGAACCAAAACCAAAUUUCUACAAAUGGAGUUUUGAAAGGUGCUGCUGGAUGCACUGUCCUGCCUGGCCGUGCCCUCUCCCCGCUGCUGCAGCGGGACAGGGCAGGGCCCUUAUUGGGGGCAGCAGCCCCUGUCAUAAUGUGAGGAAGUGCAAGCCCCUUCCCAGCGAGCACUGGGGUCUGGAAUGGGCCAGAGCC